UCUUUUCAGUCAUACAUGAGUUGACUCCUGACGUAAAAUCUCAGAUUUUCUGGUUUAUACAUGUGCAUGGAUGUGACAUUAGGAGUAAAUUAUCUGGUUGAAAGGUAGCAUUAAGCCUCCUGGGAAAAGAAUAGCUUUGAAAAUUUUGUGUCAGCUCCAAAAGUAAGAGGUUUUUGGAUAUUACUCUUAUAUUUCUAAUCUUGUAGAACUCUAAUCUUAUGCUUUUAGUAACUUGUAUUCUUUUGUCAGAAUAUUUAAAAAAAACUAUUCAAAAAGUUUAAGACUAAUUCCAGAGCUGCAACAAGCUGCUUUGACAAGUUACAGAAAUCACAAGAUAUGGUAGGAAACAACGUAAUCUACACAACAAAUUAUUCAACUUGCUGGUUAAUUUGGACUCUCCUUGAAGAUUUUUCAAGGAAUCAGCACACCUGCAGAUGCUAAAAGUACUGAUACAGGACUGCAUGAAACUGCUGGAGUACUUUCAGGGGCUUAUUUAUGUUUUUACCAUCUUGAAACAUGGUACGAUUGUUGAUGUUAUAUUGUGUAAGUAGGCUUUUAGCAUGCCUAUUGGAGCUUGCAGUCCUAUCUACUUUGGUCUUCCUGUGUUGCCUUGAAAAUGCUAGAUCUUGAUAGGAUGUAAAUUGGUUUAGGAUCCAAGAGGCACCUGCUGUCUUGCCUGUAUAUUAACUGUCAUGCUCUGUUUUUAUGAAUACUUACCCAAUCUGCUUUUUGCUUUAAAUGAAUCUUGUUACAUGACAAUUGUUGAUGAAAUAAUUGCCCAGUGUAAGCUCUGUUACGGAUCAUUCCUCUCAAGAGCUCGAUAGAAUUUUUCCCAUCUUAGUGUUAGUGUACAAUUUGGUAGCAGCUGUUCAAGAGCCUUGCAGGAACUUUUAUUAGAUGGGCAGAAGGGUGUAUCCCUUUUAGCUGAAUGACAUAACAGAUGAUCUUCUCUGCCUCUGAUUCUCCUACCUCACCUCUUCUGUUUCUUUCCAUGUCAGCAACAAUCCAGCCAUGCAGCCAGAAGACAGCUGCAAGUAGGAAGGAAAUGACCUUUAGCAAGAUAGUGUAGUGUAAUUGGAACUCCUCGUUUUGAAGCUGCAAAAUUAGUAUCCAUUGGCUGCAUUAAAUCGUAAAACAGUUGUGUAAGAAGUGAACCCAUGAUUCAGGUAUCCACCUUCGAUCACUUGGAACCCAAUCUGUGCAGGGACUCGUUGAAUACCGCAACCUUCUCCUCCUGGAACCCAAGACUUGAUUUUUCUACAAGGCAUUGAUUGGAAAUUGCAGCAUCAAGAUUGUCAACUGGUAGGCUAAUAACAGAAAAGUACCGCCACAACAAACAAAAACAAUAUAGGGAGAAGAUACCUGAGAAAAUGUAGAACUGAAAUUGGGACUUGUCGAGCCUAGGUUGAUGAGAUAAACAGUACCAAGGCCACCAUCUCCUUCAGAACUUCAACACUGCGCACUAUGUUGGAAGCCAUUUUUGGAAGGCAAAGCUCAUUUCUUUUGCAAAAGCCUCCAUGGUGCUUCAAUUCCGACCCCAGCCUUCACUUGGCUCUUUUCUUCCUUCAUCACUGGCUCGCUGCUAUUGUUUAGUUGAGUACAGUUAAACUAGAACAUUAGAAUACCUAUAAGUACAAAUUUGUAAUAGCUUAAAGGCACCAAAUGACCCCUGUGGCAUCUUUAGUUGUAUGGACAGUUAUUGAACCAAGAUGCCUAGGCCCUUCUAUGCCGUUACCAUAUUUUUCUAAUGCAACAAACAAAUAGUGAGACAAAACAAA